rnacentral:rRNA from 1 species
GACGAACGCUGGCGGCGUGCUUAACACAUGCAAGUCGAACGGAAAGGCCCUGCUUUUGUGGGGUGCUCGAGUGGCGAACGGGUGAGUAACACGUGAGUAACCUGCCCUUGACUUUGGGAUAACUUCAGGAAACUGGGGCUAAUACCGGAUAGGAGCUCCUGCUGCAUGGUGGGGGUUGGAAAGUUUCGGCGGUUGGGGAUGGACUCGCGGCUUAUCAGCUUGUUGGUGGGGUAGUGGCUUACCAAGGCUUUGACGGGUAGCCGGCCUGAGAGGGUGACCGGCGACAUUGGGACUGAGAGACGGCCCAGAGUCCUAUGGGAGGCAGCAGUGGGGAAUAUUGCACAAUGGGCGGAAGCGUGAUGCAGCAACGCCGCGUGUGGGAUGACGGCCUUCGGGUUGUGAACCGCUUUCGCCUGUGACGAAGCGUGAGUGACGGUAAUGGGUAAAGAAGCACCGGCUAACUACGUG